GACGAAGGUGGCUAGCGUUAUUCGGUGUCACUGGGCUUAAAGCGUAUGUAGGCGGAAAGAUAAGCGUUUUGUGAAAUCCCUCAGCUUAACUGAGGAAUUGCUUGACGAACUAUCUUUCUUGAGGCAAGUAGGGGUGCAUGGAACUCUUGGUGGAGCGGUGGAAUGCGUAGAUAUCAAGAGGAACGCCAAGGGAGAAAUCAGUGCACUGGGCUUGUCCUGACGCUCAGAUACGAAAGCGUGGGUAGCGAACGGG
rnacentral:rRNA from 1 species